GCCGGAGUGGUGAAACUGGUAUACACAGCAGACUCAAAAUCUGCCGAGAGCAAUCUCGUGUCGGUUCAAGUCCGACCUCCGGCA
rnacentral:tRNA from 1 species